GUCGUCAGCUCGUGUCGUGAGAUGUUGGGUUAAGUCCCGCAACGAGCGCAACCCUUAUCAUUAGUUGCUACGCAAGGGCACUCUAAUGAGACUGCCGGUGACAAACCGGAGGAAGGUGGGGAUGACGUCAAGUCCUCAUGGCCCUUAUGGGUAGGGCUUCACACGUCAUACAAUGGUCGGUACAGAGGGUUGCCAAGCCGCGAGGUGGAGCCAAUCCCAGAAAGCCGAUCGUAGUCCGGAUUGUUCUCUGCAACUCGAGAGCAUGAAGUCGGAAUCGCUAGUAAUCGCGGAUCAGCAUGUCGCGGUGAAUACGUUCCCGGGUCUUGUACACACCGCCCGUCACACCAUGGGAGUGGAAUCUGGCAGAAGUAGGUAGCCUAACCGCAAGGGGGGCGCUUACCACGCUGGGUUUCAUGACUGGGGUGAAGUCGUAACAAGGUAGCCGUAGGGGAACCUGCGGCUGGAUCACCUCCUU
rnacentral:rRNA from 1 species